ACUAGGCCUGCACGAUAUAUCGUUUGACUAUCGUCAUCGCGAUGUACGUGUGUGCGAUAGUCACAUCGCAGAGCCUGCGAUAUUGGAGGUGAAUGAACUCAUUUAAUUUCAAGGGUAACUGACUGAGAUACACUGCAUGUGACUCUGCAUGUGCUUUGCAGCGAUCCACCAAUCACAUUCGUCCUUAACUCAGUUGCCAAUCAGACCCAGUUCUCAGUUGCCAAUCAGAC